AGUGAACGCUGGCGGUAGGCCUAACACAUGCAAGUCGAACGGCAGCACAGUAAGAGCUUGCUCUUACGGGUGGCGAGUGGCGGACGGGUGAGGAAUACAUCGGACUCUACUUUUUCGUGGGGGUUAACGUAGGGAAACUUACUCUAAUACCGCAUCCGCCCUACGGGUGAAAGCAGGGGAUCUUCGGACCUUUCGCGAUUGAAUGAGCCGAUGUCGGAUUAGCUAGUUGGCGGGGUAAUGGCCCACCAAGGCGACGAUCCGUAGCCGGUCUGGGAGGAGGGUCGGCGACACGGGAACUGAGACAGGGUCAAGACGCCUACGGGAGGCAGCAGUGGGGAAUGGUGGGCAAUGGGCGCAAGCCUGGUCCAGCCAGAGCGCGUGUGUGAAGAAGGCGUUCGGUUUGUAAAGCCCUUUUGUGGGGAAAGAAAAGCAGCAGGUUAAUACCACGCGGUUGUGACGGUACCCGAAGAAUAAGCACCGGCUAACUUCGUG
rnacentral:rRNA from 1 species